rnacentral:rRNA from 1 species
AACGAACGCUGGCGGCAUGCCUAACACAUGCAAGUCGAACGAUCCCUUCGGGGAUAGUGGCGCACGGGUGCGUAACGCGUGGGAGCCUGCCCUUAGGUUCGGAAUAACUCAGAGAAAUUUGAGCUAAUACCGGAUAAUGUCUUCGGACCAAAGAUUUAUCGCCUUUGGAUGGGCCCGCGUUGGAUUAGCUAGUUGGUGGGGUAAAGGCCUACCAAGGCGACGAUCCAUAGCUGGUCUGAGAGGAUGAUCAGCCACACUGGGACUGAGACACGGCCCAGACUCCUACGGGAGGCAGCAGUGGGGAAUAUUGGACAAUGGGCGAAAGCCUGAUCCAGCAAUGCCGCGUGAGUGAUGAAGGCCUUAGGGUUGUAAAGCUCUUUUACCCGGGAUGAUAAUGACAGUACCGGGAGAAUAAGCCCCGGCUAACUCCGUG